CUUUUUCUUUCUUUUUUCUUUUGAUACAAAGCCUUACCAAUAAUAUUUUUCUCUUUCUCUCUUUUUUGUUUACACAAUAGAACUAAGUAAUACAAUGCUUAUUAAAAGUAGAGUAGAGAAUGAAGGAUGAUUCAGACUCGGUGUACACUCUUAUCUAUGGCAGAUGAGUUCUCUUUAUAGUGUUGAGACUUGAAUAUUCUUCAUGAAGAGAUAGCAACCCAAGAGAUUUGAUACUUGGAAAAGUAGGCAAGGGAUCCUUAUUUUCCAAGAAUAAUGUUAAGGCUAAUCUUCGAUUUCCUUUUUGAUUUUUCCCCGACAUCUUUCCUUAUUGUCAUCUUCCUUGAUUGAGUCUUGAUUGAGAUCAAUUUAUUGUAGCCGUUAUAUUCUCCUUCCUUGAUUGAGAAUCUUUAUUGUAGCCGUUAUAUUCUUCUUCCUUGUUUGAUGAAUCUUUGAUUGAAAAUCUUCUAAUAUGUGGCCGUUACCAGAUUGUAUGUGAUCCCGAUUUCCAUGAUUUCUGGAAUUUGAGUGGUGAUUUCUGGAUUACUUUAUUCCUGGUUCCAUUCGUGAUUCUUUCCUUUUUGAUAUCGUGUUAACCUGCAAAGAUCUAUUGUUUAUCAUUAAAACCAUGCGCUAACAAUCUCCCCUUUUUUAUGAUGACAAUAUAUAGUAGUGAUACUUCCCUAUUUUUAUAAUCGAUUGGUAUAGCUGAGAUCUCAUUAGCUCCCCUGAAUGAUAUGAGGGUAUUAUCAUUGCUAUGCUAUGUGGUCGAGCCUUAGGUGUAUGCGAGCUACAUCUGUACCCAUCUCCUUAGUUACAUCCUUCACAUUGUAUAUCUUGAAGUAAGUAGUAAGUAGGAUAUCCUUAAGAGAGUCCACUUGUUCUCGCAUGGCAAUCAACUUGGUCAUAAGAUCGAUUACCUGAGUGACAGUGAUAGACACAACAUCCAACUUCGCAUUCAUAUCAGCAAGAUUCUCCAGAGUAGCAUUAAGUAUGGCAAAGGAAACAGAGGUGAAAGAAGAGGGUUUGGACUUCAAAUUCUUUGCAGCCACAUCUUCUGUGUCAUUCUUGAGAACCCAAGAGGAAUCAGUAUGAGAGUAACCCAUGCUAACAAAGGCAUGAGAAUAGUAGUUUUUCUUGAUGAAAAUAUGAGAGAUGUCACUAAGGCAUCUGAAGUGAGAUUCCAAUAUGCAAGUUAUGAACAUACCAAAGGAAAGACUAGAGGGUUCAGAGAUGACAUCUGCCAUGGCAGAAAGGAUAAAGGAGGAGAGAAGCAAUUUUGUCCCAGAAACAAGAUAGUACGCGAGCAAAGUGUCACGCUGAGUGAGUGUAGAGUGAGAACCAUCCCUAGGGAGAAGGGUGGUAGAAACCAUAUGGUGAUAACAUGAGUUUCAAGCGGUAGAUAUUUGGGACCCAGAUGAGAGCAUAGGGGUCAAUAAUAAGUUCACGCUUGUCCUGUUUGAAAGAGACAUCACAAUUAGAAGGCCAACAAUUUUCUGAAGGCUCCAUGAUACCAGAAUAAGAUAUAUCAAAUAUAUAAUAAAUUUUAUGCAGUCAAGAAAGAAGAACUUUCCAAGAACUAAAGAUUCAAUUUCUCCUGCAAAGGGAGUGAAGAAUUUGAAGGGUUUUUUGAUAUUACUGAUGAGCAGACCAAAGAGAUGUCGACUUAAUGACGGAAAAGAAACAGAAAGAUGCAUAAAUUAAAGGCAUAUUCAGAAGGAAAGUAAUUAAGAAAAUGAAACCCAAUAUACGAGGCGUCAAAAAAUACUAUUGAGAAAGGAAAACUAUUAAUGCAAGCAAUAAUUCCAACAAUUUAAGGGAUUUUCAACAAUAGUUAAAGAUUUAUGGAGAGUACAAAAUCUUUUGUCCAAAAGAGGUUUGUAAAAAAUUCAGCUAGUUGAAUAUCAGUGCUAAUAAAAGAUAUUUCAAUGUCUCCAUUUAGAACAUGAUCACGAAUAAAAUAAUGCUUGAUAACAUUGUGCUUAGCACGAGAGUGAUCCACCAAGUUUUUAGAAAGACAUAUAGCACUAGAGUUAUCACAUUUUUAAUCUUAACAAGUUUAAAAAAUAAGUCAUAAAUACUUAAUUGAUGGACCAUCCACAAAAUUUGAGCACAACAUUGUCCAAUAGCAAUAUACUCAGCCUCUGUGGUAGAAAGUGAUACCGAACCCUAUUUUUUGCUAUUCCAAGAUAUCUAGGAUUUUCCUAGUACUUGACACGUACCAGUGGUGCUUUUCCUGUCAUUUUUGUCACCUGCAUAAUCAACUUUAAAAAAUCCUUCGAGAAUUUUUUUCUCUCUUGGGUACCAUAGUCCAAAAGAAUUUGUUCUCGCCAAAUACCGAAUGAUUCAUUUUACAGCAGUUAGAGGAGACUCCUUAGGAGCUGACUGGAAUCUUGCACAUUUGCAAACACUAAAAUGUAUGUCUGGUCGACUGGCAAUGAGAUAGAGUAAGGAACCAAUCAUACCUUGAUAUUUUAUUUCGUCGACUAUCUUACCUUCUUCAUCUUUAUCGAGAGAACAUGUGGAACUCAUUGGAGCACCUAAGGAUUUUGAGUUUUCCAUACAAAACUUUUGAAUUAAUUCUUUGCAAUACUUAGUUUGGCAUAAGAAUGUACCUUUCUCCGAUUGAUAGAUUUGCUGCCUAAGGAAGAAUGUUAACUCCCCCAUCAUACUCAACUCAAAUUCAGUUUGCAUAAGAUCAGAAUAUUCUUCAUAUAGAGAGAUAUGAGCACUUCCAAAGAUGAUGUCGUCAACAUAGAUUUGAAUAAUGAGAUUUUCAGAGGAAGAUCUUUUAAUAAAAAGAGUUAUAUCAUUUUUCCUCUAGUAAACCCAUGAUUAAUUAAGAAAUUACUGAGACGAUCAUACCAGACAUGGGGUGCUUGCUUAAGACCAUAAAGAGAUUUUGAGAUUUUAAAAACAUGAUAGGGAAAAUUAAAGUUUUCAAAACCUGGAGUUUGCUUCACAAAGGCUUUUUCUUCAAUAAAGUCAUUUAAGAAAGCAUUGUUUACAUCCAUUUGAAAUAAUUUGAAACCUUUAUAAGUAGCAUAUGCGAGAAGUAAAUGAACAGAUUCUAACCUAUCUACAGGAGCAAAAGUUUCAUCGUAGUCGACUCCUUCCUGUUGAGAAUAACCUUGUGCCACUAAUCGAGGCUUAUUUUGUAUCACUUUUCACGAUUCAUUGAGUUUGUUUGUAUAAACCCAUGUGGUUAUAAUAAUAAAAUUAUUUUUAGGUUUAGGAACCAGUGUCCAUACCUGAUUUUUUUCAAACUGAUCCAACUCUUCUUUCAUGACCUUGAUCCAAUGUUCAUAUGUGAGAGCCUUAUUUAAUUUUUUUUGUUCUAGUUGAGAGAUGAAAACAAUAUUUGUCUCAUUUCUUAUUGAUGCUUGAGUCUUCAUUCCUUCACUUGGAUUUUCAAUAAUAAACUUGUUUGGAUAGUUUGGUUUACUUAGCCACUCAUUUGGAACUAUUUCGACUAUUGGAUCAAUGGGAGUGUCUUUAGUAAUCAACUCUUCAUUAUUGUUUGUCUCCUUUUGAGUUGAUAUUGUCAGUUGACUAUCUUCUUCAUUUGUGUUUGUUCUUAUCUCAACAGUUUUAUUAGAGUCAUCAAAAACAACAUGAAUGGAUUCUUCAAUAUUUAAACUUCAUUUAUUGAAAACUCUAUUAGAUUUGCUAGAAUUAGAGUAACCAAGAAAUAUACAUUCGUCACUUCGUGCAUCAAACUUACCGAUGUUGUCUUUACCGUUGUUGUGAACAAAAUAUUUGUAUCCAAAUGGAUGAAAGUAUCCAAUAUUAGGUCUCUUACCAUUCCAUAAUUCGUAUGGAGUCUUUUUUUAAAUAGGUACGAUUAAGCAUUGAUUUAGCACAUGACAAGCUGUACUCACAACUUAUGCCCAAAAUUUGUGUGGGAGAGAAUUAUCAAUAAUCAUUAUACUUGCCAUAUCCUAUAGUGUCCUAUUCUUUCAUUCCACGACUCCAUUUUGUUGAGGUGAGCGAGGGGAAGAAAAAUUGUGAGUGUAGCCUUUUUCAUUGCAGAAGUUUUUGAAAGACUUGUUUCUCAGAUUCAGUUCCAUGAUCACUUCUUAUAGAUGUGAUGUAAUAACCUUUAUCUCAUUAAGAUUUUUCACCAAAGAACUCAUCGUUUUUGAAAGUGCCAUAUUUAUGAGAUAGAAACAUUACCCUUGUAAAACGAGAAUAAUCAUCAACAAUUAUGAAUACGUACCUUUUACUUCCGAUGUUGGUUGUUCUAGUGGGUCAAAAUGAGUCCAUAUGUAGUAGCUGUAAAGGUUUAUUUGUGGAUACAAUAUCUUUACAAGAGAAUGAGUUUCCCAUUUGCUUACCCAUUUGACACUUCACAUAUAUGAUAUUUUGAAUAGUCCAACUUAGGUAAUCCUAUGACUAGUUCAUUUUUUGCAAGUUUCCCUAUUAGUCGCAUGCUUGCAUGGCCGAGUUUCUUAUGCCAAAUCCAGGGAUCAUCAGUCAUUGAAGCUAGGCAUAUAUGUUCUCCAGUAUUUUUCAUAGAGUCAAGAAUAUAAACAUUCUUUUUUCCGCUUCCUUGUAGUAGAUUAUAUUCAGAGAGAUCUUCUAUUACAGAUCGAUUAUUUUUUAAAUUGAACUUUCAAGUUUAACUCGCAUAGUUGACUGAUACUUAUAAGAUUGUACUUCAACCCUGUCACUAGAUAAACAUUUGUGAGAUCACAUGAGUCAUUAAAAGUAAUUGUACCAAUGCCAAUUACUGUUCCUUUUGAGUUAUCACCAAAACGAAUGUUUCCUCCCUUAUAUUCAACAGUAGAUAUAAAUAGGUUUUUAUCUCCUGUCAUGUGAUUUGAACAUCUGCUAUCUAGAUACCACUUUCCUUUUGUUUUUCUGCGGUGUUCCUGCAAAACAAAUAUAUGAUAUCCUUUUAGGUACCCAAACUUUUUUGGUCUUUUGAGGUUAGAACUAUCCAGAUUUAUUUCGGAUCUCCAGACCCAUUUAGAAGUAUCAUGAUUUCAAAAUCUGUAAUUAUACGAUAAGUGCCCAGACUUUCCAUAAUAAUGACAACUUUUAGGGAUGUCUUCUUUUGAGAUGGAGUUGUUACUGUUAGUUUUUGAAUCAUUUGACUUAUAGGACUGAUUGCAACUAAAGUAAUUUCCAUUUGAAUUUUUUUACUGCUAGAGACCUUUUUAUGAGUUUUAGAGGAAUUUCUUGAAGAGUCAGAUUUGUUUUUAAAGCUUUCGAGCGUAGUUUUUAUUUCAUGAAUCUCUUCGUAUAAAAGAUCUUUUUCAACUUCACUGACUUCCAAUUUUAUUUCUAAAUCUCUUUUUUCAGUUUGAAGAUUUUGAAAAUCAGAAAAAAAAAACUCAAUUUAGGUUUGUCACAACACGGUCUAGCAAUGUUUUUUUAAUUCAUUGCAAUUGUUACAUAUAUAUCUCAGUGCUUAUUUCUCCGAUUUCCAUGAAGCAUAUGUUUUCAAUUUCUUCAUUAUCAUAUUCUGAAUUUACUUCAUCGCUCUAACUACUUAGUGCUUUGUUCUUUUGAUUUCAUCUGGAGAAAUUUUUCUUUGCUUCUGGGCAUUCACUGCUAUGUGUUCAUAUUUUCCGCAGUCAUAGCAUUUUCCGUCAUUUCUGGAUUGAUCAGUGAUAUACUUACCCCUUCCAAAAUUUCUUCCUCUUAUAUUAUUUUUGGACCUCCUAAAUGAUUCCAUGACUGAUCGAGUGAUUAAAGCAAAUUCAUCUUUUGCUAGUUCUUCUUCUCCUUUGUCCUCCUAAUUUGCUUUAAACUCCACAAUUUUCUUUUUAGCGUCUUCUUGGCCUCUUUUGUUAAGAUGUGUUUUCUCAAAAGUGAUUAAGUCUCCUCUUACCUCAUCAUCGGUUAGAGUGCUUAAGUUCAUGCUUUCAAGAGCAAGUACUUUAGCAUGCCAUUGAGGUGAUAAACUCCUGAGGACUCUUCAUAUAUGUUGAAUAGGAGGAUAUGUUUUUCUUGAAGCUUUUAGUUCACCAAUGAUCUUACUCAGUCGUGCAAACAUGCUUUCAAUUGUUUUUCCUUCCUUCAUUUGAAAUAGUUUGUAUUCAUAUACUAGCAGACUAAUGAUGGUUUCUUUGACUUUGUCAGUUUCGUAACCUCUUAUUUGUCCCAUAUUUCUUUGGCAGUUUCACAACAUGAUUUUUUUUUUUCAUAUUCCUCACCACUAAUAGCAUUAUGUAGAACAUUCUUUCUUUGGAGUUUAUUUGAAUAAUCUCCAUCUGUUCAUUUGUGUAGUUCUCAAAACUUGGAGUGAUGGAGGAUUGACUAUCAUUUGAACUUUUUGAAGUAGGAAUAGGAAUAUCACCAAGCUUGAUGACUCUCUAAACUUUCACAUCAUAAGAUUUUAUGAAAGUUUCGAUUCUCACUUUCCAGUAAGAAAGGGUGUUUUCCAUUAAAAUAGGGAGGUCUUGUCUGAGAGGUUCCUUCUUGAAAUAGUGCGCCUAUGAUUUGUUGUGUCAUGAUCUUUUUCUCACAUGUUUGUUAGACAGAUAUUUGUGAGACGAGGCUUUGAUACCAAUUGAAAGUGCAAGAGAGGGGUGAAUUGCUUUGUUUUUAUUUUCUUUCUUGAAUAGUCGACUUAUGAGAGUUGCUAGUCAACUGGUAUUUCUAGAAAUGAAUAAAUACAAAAGUAAGAUUGAAACAAAUUAUUUUUAUACUGGUUGAGAUCAAAUGUGGAUCUUACCUCCAUUCUCCUUGGGUUGCAAAGGUGUUUUCUUCUAACCUUUAGAAUCUUUGUAGUGAGUACAAGUUUAGAGUAUAGUUCUUAUGACUACACUCAAUAAUUUUCUUUCUCUUUUCUUUUGAUAGAAAGCCCAACCAACAAUAUUUUUCUCUUUUUUUUUGUUUAGACAGUAGAAAUAAGUAACACAAUGAUUGUUAAAAGUAGAGUAGAGAAUGUACAAUGAUUCAGACUCGAUGUAAGCUCUUCUCUAUGGCAGACAAGUUCUUUUUAUAGUGCUGAGACUUGAAUCUUCUUCAUGAGAGAGAGCAACCCAAGAGAUUUGAUCUUUCGAAAAGAAGGCAAGAGAUUCUUAUUUUCCAAGAAUAAUAUUAAGGCUAAUCUUCAAUUUCCUUUUUGAUUUGGCCUUGACAUCUUACUGAUUGCCAUCUUCCUUGAUUCUUCCUUGUUUGAUGAAUCUUUGAUUGAAAAUCUUCUGAUUUUUGGCCGUUAUCAGAUUGUAUGUGAUCCUAGUUUCCAUGAUUUCUGGACUUCGAGUGGUGAUUUCUGGAUUACUUUAUUCCUGGUUCCAUGCUUGACUCUUUCCUUUUUGAUGUCGUGUUAACAUGCAGGGAUCUAUUGUUUUUCAUUAAAUCCAUGCGCUAACAGAUGUCAUAGACAUUAAUACAGAGAAAAUAUAGAGCUAAAUUAGAGAGUAAUUGAAUUCAGACUACAAUAUUUUUUAAGUGAUCAAUAACUUAUUGAUACACAAAUUUAUAGGUCAAUAUAGCUUUAAUUAUGAUCUAAAUUCGAUGGAUACAACUUAUUUCACAGGCAAAAGUUUCAAGAAAAUUAUUUAACGCAUAAUUUUUAAUUUUCAGGGUAAAAUUUUUAGAAGACUUAGAUUAAGAUAUAGAUCUAUCAAGGAACUUAUGCAAUAUAAUAUAAUUUGUACCACUGAAGUUGUGUUGUCAUGUGGCAUGACUUGCACCAUUCAACUUAUACUUUGGACAUAACUUGGAUCACUUAACUUAUCUCUUGAGUUUAAUUCUUUUUGUCUUCAGGCAUAACUUAUGCCAAUGCAUAUACAUCUUGGGCAUAACUUGUGCCCUGGCCUACUUUCAUUUGCCUUGUGAUAUAAUAGGACAAUAAUUAAAUAUUAAUAAUCUGAAAGAUAAAUUAAAAAUCAUCCCGAAAUAAGGCAUUAUGGAAAUAAACCAUCUUAAAGUGGAUAUUUCUUUUUGGCAUGAAAAUGGCACUAGAUAACUACUUUUAGAACUAUUGUUUAGAUUAUAGCCAAUGUGGAUAAAUCAUUUAGUGUUAAACAUAUUUCAAAAUCUGAGUAACUACGUAUUUAUUCUAAGUUGUUUCAAACUUUAGAUCACAUUAUUCUAAAGUUCAAUUUUUUUUCAUGUUUAAAUUUUUAUGAAUUGUGUCCUGCAAUAUCAAAACUUCAACCAAAUUUCAAGCAAGUUUAAUUUUUUCAGUUCAAAGCUUGAUAUUGUGUCUCGACGUUUAGUUUUUCCAAGUCAAAGCUUUAAAACAUUAUGUCCUGAGUUUUAAUUUUUCAACUCAAAAUUUUAUGAGACUAUCUUGAAUUUUAGGUUUUCAAUUCAACAUUUUAAAAUAUUAUUUUUAGAGUUCGAUCUUGAAGUUUUUAAUUGGGGAGCUUAAUUUAAUUGAGGAGUCACAAUGAAAAAUUGUGUGAAUUUAUACAGUUGGCAAAUAGUAUUUUGUGUAAUAGAAAUAGAAUUGAAAAAGACAACAAAAAAUAAUUUAAAAAGAGAAGCGAGAAAAAAGGACUAUCAUUUUAUAAGUGUCUGAUUAAGCCUUUAAUAAUUUUAUCUUCCUAUUUUUAAUCUUUAUUAUAAGAAGAUGAAAUAAAGAAAAUAUUCAUUUGACUAGACUUAUAUAAAGUAAAAUGUUAUUACAAUUUGCAAUGUACGAAAAUAGUUCAUGUUUCAUGAUGCGAUGAGAAAUCAUACUACUAAUUUUUUUAGAACUUAGAAAUUGAUAGACAAAAACAAGUUCACCAUAUUAUUCUUAUGUUUCCCUUUAAAUUUCCUUGAAUCUGUAUUUUUUAAUAUAACUUUUUAUCAUUACCAUUCUCAUCACAUCUUGAAGUCCACCGAUUUGAUUGUUUUAGUCAUUAAUCGAUAUAAAAUUGUCACGACCCGAUUUCUCAAGUCAUGAUGAAACCUACUACACCCCACUAGUAGGUAGGCCUAACCCUUAGCCCGGAGCCAUAAGCAACGGACUAUCAAGCAGAAGUGAACCACAAGAAGUAAGAGCUUAGAAUAAAGCAGAGAAAUGAUGAUCAACAAAAUCAUACAGGAAUCAUCCCAAGACCUGGCAUCAGUUAGUACUUAAGCAUCUAAUAAAAAAUAGGAGUAGACAGCUUUCACAAAUACAAGACAAGUACAGGUUUCCUUUGAAUACAAUAUAAAGACUAAAUCUAGCCAAAACAGACAGAAACGGGUAGCUCCAGACGCCAAGAAUUCACCCUAAUCUCCAAAACCCCAAGCUGCUCCGCACGACUCCAAAUAAAUAGCGAUAACUCAAUUGCAAUCUACAGAGGGCAGAAGUGUAGUAUGAGUACCAAAACGGUACUCAGCAGGCAACAACCGACUAAGCUCAAAAGAUAACACAUGCAUAAACAACAAGUAAUAAAGAAAACAUAGCACAACUAAAUAAAAGGUACUAAAGUAGACAGGAAAUAAAGAAUUGAAACAGGAAACAAAGGGCAAGAAGUUGAGUAAAGAACGUAUCUGGACCCAAGCCAACAAGAUAAUCGUAAACAACUAAGAUACCAAACCAACUACCCAGUGUCAGGAUGGCCCAUAAUUACAAUUCUAAAGUCAAAACAUACCAGGUAACAAUAAAAUAAUAGUAGAGAAUAUAAUAUAGUAAAAAGAUAACCUAACUAAACCCCCAUACGCCCAAAAGGUACAAAUAGCAAACAUGCAUAACCCAACCGCCCCCCAUAAACUGAAGGGUACAGACAACAAACAAGUAUAUUGGUGAUAAAAAAUGCAUUUGAAUGCAGGGUGAGCAGUAGAACCAUCAGUAACAAUCCAAACUCCUGACCAGAGGUAAUGACCUCGAACUGCAAAACUUCAGCCUUAGACUGAGAAUAAUGGCCUCAAACUAUCAAUAUCAGCCUCAAACUGGAGAUAAUGACCUCGAACCGUGAGCAUCGGUCUCAAACCAGAAGUAACAACCUCAAACCGUGAGUAACCAAUAAUGGGGUCGCCUACCCAGCCAGUAUACUCCGAGGAAUGCCAGCAAGACCAAAAGCAUGCAAGAAAGGGCGUUGAUGCGCCGAGUAGUCAAGUGAAAACUAAGCAUAUCCCAGAUGCCUCUAAUAUCUAAAGUAGGAAAGGAGCACGCCCCUGACGCCUCGUAAUGUCAAAAAUCAGUAAGUCAAGUGAUCCAGGUGGUACAAAUCCCGUUAAAACCCCUUUAGAUUACAAAUCGAGUAAGUUAGUACCUCAUUAUGAAUGAUAAAUAUGCCAAUGCAUGGGUCGAGAUCGUACCACAAAAUUCAUGAGAAUGAGCAAACAAUGCAAUGCAUGCCAUCACCAACAUUCAAAGGGCACUCAAAAUCAAAUAAUUAUGCAGUCAAUGAAACCACGCUACUAAAGCAAAAAGUACUAACCUGGGAUCCAACUAGUCCUCACAUACUACCUCCGACCCAACAAUAUAAUCAUAAGCUCAAUAAGUAUACAACAUGCCCACCGCUAAUCAACAAGCAAAUGGAUCAAGAAGAGAUUUCAAAUCAAUAAAGGGGGAGAAAACCCAAGGGGUGACGCCCUACCCCAAUCACACCGCUUCACCAGACUGAGCACAUUAGGACUAACCCACGGCUAUGAUGAGCCACAAAGGUCACAAACAUCAACGCAAGGAGAACGACCCAAAACAAGCCCUAAAAGGAGAAAACUAUAACUACGAGGCGAUAAAACACAACUUAAAGCAUCUAAUGUUCAACCUUGUCUAAGGCAACCACAAAUCAAUCCUAACAAGGAUAAGCAAGAUCAUCUACACCACAAGCGAAGCCACAGUCUAAACUAAGGAUCCCAACCACAAAAAUACCAAGCCUCCUACAGAAUCAAGAAAGGAUGGAAUUACAAGAGGAAAGCUAAAUACCCGCCAAAUACCAAAAAAAUUUACAUGAAUUCUAUACUAGGCAUUAUCUAAGAAGCUCAAUCAAGAAAGUAGAUUGAAGCCUACCUCAAAUUAUCAAAUUAUCGAUCACAAUGUCAUUAUAGAUAUUUUGACACAAAAAUUGCAACAAUUAGAAAUGAACCCAAAAUUGAGUCAAAACGGAAAUGUGGGACCCAUGCCGGAAAUAUCAAAACUAACUUCGUCAAAAGGUCCUAACCUACGCCUCGAACUUGUGUUCCAAAAUUGAACACAAUUUGAGGCUCGAAAAUAGCCACAACAACAUGUAAAAUUAACAAGAAAACCAAGCUAAGCGAGCAUCUUCGAGCUCAAAGUCACCUCAAACAAAUGUUCCUCAACAACUUCUAAUCACAAACCCAAGUAUCCACGCUCCCAACGAUCACACGGGACUUUGAAUCACUCAAAUCGGAGCUCGGAUGAGGGAGAAAUCACCUUUUGAAAAUGAUGGCUGACAGCUGAAUUUUUUGGAUAUAAAUACCCGAAACUGGUCGCUAAAAGUUCUAAAUUCUAGUCGCUAAAAGUUCUAAAUUCUAGUCGCUAAAAGCCUGCACCAGAUAUCAACACUUCAGCUGGUUUGCUCAAACUUUGAAUUCUCCAACAAGGUGCCCGGGAUUCAUUCGGAACCCCGUGCGCACAAAUAAAGUAUGCUACCCCAUCACAUUCGCAUUCCAAAAUCAACGGAACCAUCAAAAUUUCCGUUUGAGGCAGUUUCGAUGAAAAAUGGGUCCCACACUCAAGUUCUGUUUUAAGCUACAAACCACACGAAAGCUCAAAAUGAGACAGAAAGACUAGGGAAUGCACAAAAUAUUGUUCUAAACCAAACUCGAUAUUCCAAAGCUAACUGCGCUGAUGGAAUUCUCAUCUGAGAAAAUUUACCAAGAAUAUUGGCCAAAGUCAACCCUUGGCUUAAGCUUCAAAGUUAAAAUGCCUAAUGAAACAAACUCACACUAGAAGUCUCGAGGCCCAAACCAACCAUCCCCCUAGCCUAAAAUGACCCUCUCGGAGCUGAUGAAACCCCCAACUUAAACGUUUGCUUAUCCUUAAGUAAAUCAAGAACACAAUUAGCUUAAACGUCUACAACAGUAUGCAUGAGAGCUAACAUGCAAGUUCCAUAACAAGAUUACUCUCAACAACAUGCUACACUCAAUCAUGAUAAAUAAAAAAAACCUUCAAAUUAUGACUAGCCAGUUUCAUCACAAGCUCAAGCUCACUUUAGCUUCUUUUCUAAAAUGUAAGACCAUGUUUCAAUAAAUGCAUUCAAGUGCCCUCACAUUAAGAACGAUUCCAUUCUCUCACAAAGAAAAUCAACAAAGACAUAAGGAAUCAAUGCAACUCUCACUCUAUCAAAAGAGAAAUACAUGCAAGCUUCGUUUCAUAGGUUUGCCCAUAUUUUCCAAUUAUCACACAACCUAGUUCAUGCAAGAGCCCAAAGAUGUAAUGGGGCUGAUGGUUAAGGUAUGGUCAAUUUGGUUCAGUGGCUUCACCUUUUCAAAGCAUUGUUGCAAUCAUCUUCACCUCUUCUCAAGUUUUUUUCAUUCUUUUCCAAUUGAGAACUCAAACUUUGACUUUUUACUCAUUUUAUUUGGAAUCCCCUUUAUUUCAUCACUUCUCUUUUCCAUUUCCAUUAUCUCAACAUUUUUUUUAAUAAGGAGGGGUUCCUUCCUUUUGUAACAAACUUCAAAGUUGAGUCCAAAUUCAUCUUUCUUUGCCCUUCACUUGGCUUUCAUUCUUCCUUUCUUUCCACACCUCUAACUUAGGCUUUUGGUCUAAGUUGGCUAUUCAAACAUAACAAUGCUUCAAAAAGGAUUUUGGGUGAGAAUGUAGGGACAAUUUUUGCUCAAGAGGUUUUAGCUUGUUUUUGUCAACAAAUGGUUUAGGCUCAAAUGAUAUCAAAAUGGAUGCACACCUUCACAAGAUAUUACAUGUUUAAGAUAGUUGGGAAAGACAUAGAUUUAAAGAUAAAUAAUUUUUUGAGAUAUAUUAAAAUAAAGUACAAUUUGUAAUUUUAGAUAUAUUAUAAUAUUUAUAUGAUAAUUUUAUUAAGGAUAAAUAAGAAGUUUAAAAUUAAAUACAAAUUUGGUAUAUAUUUUAAAAUUUUAAGUUUUAUACAUUAAAAUAUUAUAUAUUCUAUGGUAGUAUAUUUUUAAAGUUUUGUAACGUUAAAACAAUGCCCAUCAAUUGCAUUGCAAGAAGGUCAUUAUUUUUUUAUUGAGCUCUUAAUUUUGUAUGUUUUAAAUGUUUGUAUUUUUUUUUUGCCCAUGUGAAAGAUUUUUUUUUUUUUACAAAAAGAAGUGAUUUCAUUAUUUUGCAAUUUUUUUUUUUUAAAAGAGGAGUGCACAAUGCCACUCCAAAACAACCUUCCAUCUUUUUGUAUUACUGUAAUAAAAUUUAAAUGAGAAAAAUCUUCUCUUCAAACUCAAUUUUAGCUCUAACUUUAAUGUAUAAUCUACUAUAAUUAAUAAUUAAGUUUUUAUCAUAUUUAUAUUUUUUGAACCUUCUAUUUAACUGGACCAUUUCUUCAACGUUUAAUACACUAUUUCUUAAGCAAAUUAGUAUUCAUAUUCUUCUCAAAAAGAAAUUAUCAAUCAAUCAUGGCUAACAUGCUUCGAGCUAAUCAAGCCGCUAGGGCCAUUUAUAAGCCUAAAGGUCCAGUCGUUUAUGGUGAGUGCAACUGUUGUCUCUUAGCAAGUGUUAAUGCUACCGAUAGUGUCAGGCUUUUGCUCCUGGCUGUCCUUUCGGUAUCAUAUAAUUUUUCCAAUGUCAAUUUUGUCAUUGUCAUCAGAAUGUCCAUCGUAGGUUGUAUGUCAACAAUCAUCAACUUCCACCAACACCAACACAACAACAUGUUAAUUUUAUUUAGAAUUGUAUGAAUAUAUCAAUUGUCAUACCUUUUUGAAUGAAUCGUUGAAUUGCUGCAUGCUUUGCCAAAAAAACAUAAAAGUAAUAUCCCCUUUGAAUUUUUCAUCUAUUAUAAAAAAUACUAUCUUUUUUUAGAUCUGUUUUAAUUAAUAUUUUUUACUUUUAUUUUUCAUUGUAAUGCUAUCAAUUAUAACUAGUUACAGAUUUAAAGAAUUUUUUUUAUAUAAAUUAUUGAUUUAAGAUGGCAAGAUUUAAAAGUCUCAUUUACUUUCAUAAAGUAUGUAUCAAAUCAAACUAAGUCACAUGUAUGAAAUAAAUUUAUCUUAUUCUCCAAAAAAAAGUUUUUAAAAAUAAAUAAAUAAAUAAAACAUAAUUACAUCAGGGUAAAUGGCUACAAUUGAAAAAUCUGCGGAUGUUAAGAUGGGAGAUCUUAACAUGCCAUUUCGGUUCAAUAGUAGUCAUUUCAAAAGAUGGAAGGGUAAAGUACUUUUAUACUUAAGUCUUCUCAAUGUUUCUUAUGUGUUAACUGAGAAGAAUCCUAAUAAAGUUGACAUCACCUCUAUGAAUGAUGAUGAAACUAUUUCUCAUCUAGAGCAAGUGGAAAAGUAUGAUGGUGAUUCUUAUAAGUGUCGGUAUUAUAUUUUUAAUUGUCUAUUUGAUAAUUUUUAUAAUUAUUAUGACAGAACUUACUCUAGUGCAAAGAAAAUUUGGAAAACAUUGCAGAGUAAGUAUGAUACCGAAGAGGCUGGAGCAAAACAAAUAUGCGUCUAGUAGAUUUUUUCAUUUUCAAAGGGUGGACAACAAAUCAGUGGUAAACCAAGUUCAAGACUUUAUAUUGAUUGAUGGAGAACUCAUGUCUGAGGCGGUCAAAAUUGGAGAUAACCUUAUUGUUUGUGGCAUAGUAGAUAAACUUCCACAUUCUUGAAAGAAAUUUCAAAAUUCUAUGCGCCACAAACAAAAGAAAACCUCUCUUGAAACGUUGAUAAUGAAAAUCCGCAUGAAAGAAAAAGGCAAUGGGUCAAAAUGCACUUUUACAAUCAAAAGAAAGCAACACCACAACGAAGGUAAAUUUAAUUACUUCAAAUAAUGUUACUCCUGAAUCUCACAAAAAUACUUCUAUGAAGCCUAAGAAUAAAAAAAUCAAAAAAACUAAUGGCAGACCUCCCAAGAAACUAACCAAGUACAAAAUCAACAAGUACAAGAUAAGGGACCGUGUUUUGUUUGUGGCAAGAGUGGGCAUAUUGCUCAAUUUUGUAGAUUUCGUAAAUGUGGUCCUACACCUCAGGCAAACAUUACCGAAGAACCUUUGUGGCGAUUGUUACAGACAUAAACAUGGUUGAGAGUGUUGAUGGAUGGUGGGCUGAUUUUGGUGCAAACUGUCAUAUCUGUUAUGACAGAGAUUGGUUUAAAAAAUAUACUCAUUUUGAGGAGUCCAAAACCAUCGUGCUUGGUGAUUCUCACACUACUCAAUUGCUUGGAAUGAGAGAUGUCGAAUUGUGUUUUACCUCUGGAAGGGUGUUAAUAUUGAAAAAAAGUACUUUAUGCUCAUUUUAUAAGAAAAAAAAUUGAUGUCUAGUUUUCUUCUUAGCUGUAAACAGAUUAUUAAAUCUGAUAUGUAAUUGUGAAAAAGGAUAUUUUUGUGGGAAAGGGGUAUGCAUUUGAUGGGAUGUUCAAACUGAAUGUUGAAAUGAAUAAAGUUUCUACUUCUGUUAAUAUGCUUUCUUCUACUAAUUUUUGGCAUGCUCGUUUGUGUCAUUAAUGAUCAUUAUGUUGGAAUCAUGAGUAGUUUAAGAUUAAUCCAAAUGGUUAAAAAGAAUUUUAAAAAGUGUGAGGCUUGUAGUAAAUCCAAAAUCACUAAAAUCCCUCAUUUUCAAGUUAAAAUAAAUUGAUUUGUUAGAAUUAGCUCAUACUGAUAUUUUGAACUUGGAAGAAGUUUAAAUCGUGGAGGUAAUAGAUAUUUCAUCACUUUCAUUGAUGUUUUUUCUAAGUUUACAUAUGUCUACUUGAUGAAAAAUAAAAGUGAUGCUUUUGAAAAUUUUAAAACUUAUCUCCAUGAAGUUGAAAAUCACUUUGGAAGAAAAAUAAAAAGAAUUAGAAGUGAUGGAGACUGUGAAUCUGAGUCAAAUGAUUUUAAUUCUUUUGUUAGAUCAUUGGGAAUAAUUCAUGAAACUACUCCUCAUUAUUCUCCUUCAUAUGAUGGUAUAGCGGAAAGGAAACAAUAGUACUUUGGUUGAUUUGACUAAUAUCAUGCUUAUUGAGUCAUAUGCACCUUUAAAUUUAUGGGGUGAAGCUAUUUUGACAUCUUGUUAUGUGUUGAAUCGUGUGGCUCAUAAAAAGUCUAAAUUGACACCUUUUGAAUCGUGGAAAGGUCACAAGCAAUGUUUGGGAUAUCUAAGAGUUUGGGGUUGUCUAGCCUUUGUGAAACUAAUGGAUCCCAAGAUUACAAAGUUAGGUGAUGAGUGGUAGGUUUGGACUCAUUUAAGGUCCAUUUAGCUCAAUAAUUAGUAUCCCCAAUGCUUAGCUUGUCAUUUUCUAAUCAAAUAUUGAUGAGUUGCAACUAUGGAGGAAAUUGGACAAGGCAAGGAUUGAAGUUUGAAAAAAUAACCAAAAAUACAAAAAUAAGUGCAAAGUGAACAUUGUUGUUCUCCUAACAUGAAGGGUGUAACGCCAACUGAGCACGACCUCGCCAAAUUGAUAGUGCAUAACACUUGUAUAUACCAAAGAAGGUCGGGGAACUCCAGUCGAAAAGGCGAUGCACCGAAUUAGAAUGGCGGUCCUGAUGCACAUCACCCAAAGCUAAGUGACAGUGUGCAAGGUAAAUAUUUAAUGCUCAAACGAUGAACUAAUGUGGUAUUCGAUGAGUCACCAAACAUGAAAUCCUGACUCGAUCGAGUUCACCAACUGAGGUUCAAACACCUGAAGCCUAGAGCAUCACAAGGCGAGCUGAGGAGCGAAGGGUGAUUCGCCGAGCAAGUUUGGUGAGCCCGACUAAUGUCGUCGAGUUGGUUACGAAGUGGAUUUUGGGCCAAAUUUUGGGAAAGUAUUAAUAACCCAAAGGAUACAAUUUUUAAAGAGUUUGACUACUGAGUUCAAGGGAGAAAGUUGUGAGUUAGAGUUUUAGAACACUUUACUUUUGAAAGAAUACUUUUUCUAGUUUUUUUGGAGUUUUAUAAUUUGAAGCUUGAAUUUGAUAAAUUGAAGUUAAAUCCAAAGUGGGUUUACUCUUAAUCGCUUGAUUUCAAGUUACCAAUUGUUGCUUUCAUGGAAGGUAUAUUUUCUUUACUUUUUGUGAUGGGUAGCUAAAACUCCAAGAUCUAGGGGUGCUCUAAUGGAGUUGAUUGUUGAUUUAAUGUAGUCGGUAUUGUGCUAUUCUCUGUUUUGUUGCUAUUCAUGCAUGGAUUUGGUCUAAUUACCAUGAGGUUAACUUAAGGGUUAAGGUUGCAAACUUAAUUCCUACUUUCGAUCUCUAAUUUAUGCUCGAAAGAGAUUAAUCGGAGUGGGUAAUUAGUUCAAUAUUAGGAAUUUAGGUUUGAUGUCUAUGCUUUGCUUGAAAGAAAGGUUAUGGGUCGGAUCUAUUUGCCUUAUUCUUGAAAGAGGGGAUAGAGUAAGGUAUUGAGUUGAUUAGGAUUGACAGUUAGAUGAGACCGAAAGAAGAUUCUGGGCAUAGAUGCUUUGAGAUCGAAAGGUGAUUAACGUUAUUGAAGAUGACUUAGCCUAUUCAUGUAUGUACAUCACUAUAGAGCAGCAAAAUCCAAUGUGACAUUGAUAUCCAAUCCACGCACCACUAGAUUUCUUGUUAACUCUUGAUUUCAUUCGAAUUUUAUUUUAAUUAUGAUAAUUUGAUAAUAAAAGUUUUAUAUUAAGUUGGUGGUACCACCCACCCAAUUGUUCUUACUAUGUCAAAUGAGCUAAUUUAAAGUCCAAAUCUCUCGAUAAAGAAUUCUCUACGAUAUACCAUUCCUUGUCGAAUUCGACCCCGACUCUUCAUUGGGUUUUUACUGACUACGAUCGUUCACUCUUUUAAUUGGUUUUGGAGGGUGAUUUGAGCGUUAUCAUUGGGUAAGAAAGUUACUACUUGUGCUUCUUUUUUUUUAUUAUGCUUCAAAUAGUACAACCUAUAUAUUUUUUAAUCUUGAAGGUAAUAUUAAAAGAAUCGGGUGAUGCUAUUUUUCAUGAGAAUAAAUUCCCUUUUGAUUCUAAAAAUAGAGGGGGUCAAAGGAUUGAACAAAAUAUUUUGUCACAACCUAGAAUUUCUACUUCUACUUUUAAAAAUAAAGAAAUUGAUGAUUUUGAGUUAAAGAAGAAGUAAAAGAGCUAGAGUAGAAACAUAUUUUGGUCCUGAUUUUAUGUGUUUAAUAUUGGAGAUGACCCUUUCACUUUGAGAGAAGAUUUAUCUUCACAUGAUUCUAUUUUUUUGAAAGAGGCUGUAAAAGAUGAAAUGGGAUCACUAAUUUCUAAUAAAAUUUGGAAGUUAGUUGAUUUACCACCAGAUUGUAAAAUAAUUGAUUGCAAAUGGGUCUUACGAAAAAAAAUUAAAAUCGGAUGGAUCUAUUGAUAAAUAUAAGGCUAGACUAAUUGAAAAAGUUUUUAAGUAACUAGAAGACCUAGAAUUUUUUAUACUUUUUAUCCGGUAACAAGAAUUAUAUCCAUAAGGCUUUUAAUUGGUAUGACUGCAAUUUUUGAUUUGCUAAUUCAUUAAAUAGAUGUAAAACUGCUUUUUUAAAUGGGGACCUAAAUGAGAAAAUUUAGAUGGAUCAAUUAGAGUAUUUUGUUGAAUCAGACCAAAAGAGUAAAGUGUCUAAAUUUACUAAAUCGCUAUAUGGCUUGAAAUAGGCACCAAAGCAAUGACAUGAAAAGUUUGAUUCCUGCAUGAUUGAAAAUGAUUUUAAACAAAUGAGUGUGAUAAGUGCAUAUAUCAUAAGUCUUGGAAUUAUUCACAUGUUAUUAUUUGCCUAUAUGUUGAUGAUCUAUUGACAUUUGGCUCUAACAUGAAUAUUAGAAGCCAUUUCGAUAUGAAAGAUCUUGGUGAGACAAAUUUUAUUCUUGGAAUAAAAAUAACAAGAACAUGUGAUGGAAUUUUCCUUGACCAGUCACAUUGUGUUGAGAAAUUUUUUAAAAAAAUAUAACUUUCUUGAUUGCAAGCAUAUUGUAACUCCUUUUGAUUCAAGUGUUCACUUAUUUUCGGUUGAAAGUGAAAAUGAUGUAAUAACUCAAAAGGACUAUGCUAGCUUAAUUGGAAGUUUGAGAUAUGUGACUGAUUGCACUAGGCCUGAUCUUGCUUAUGUAGUAGGAGUACUUAGCAGGUUUACAAACAAGUAAGGUAAUUAACAUUGACAUGCAAUAACAAGAGUUAUGAAAUAUUUAAUUGGAACAAAAAAAUUGUGGUUUGUUAUAUAAAAAAAAUACCGUUGUACUUGAAGGCUUUUCUGAUGCAGAUUGGAACACCUUAUCAGGUGAUUCAUGUUCUACCUCUUGUUAUAUCUUUACUUUGGGUGGUGGUACUAUUUGUUGGAGAUCAAAAAAAUAAACUAUAAUUUCUAACUCUACCAUGGAGGCUGAACAAAUUGUUUUAGCUUCAGCGAGUGAAGAAACAAAUUGGGUAAGAGAUUUGUUAUUUCAAAUACCUUAAUUUGAAAAACCAAUUCCUACUAUUUUAAUUUAUUGUGAUAGCACUGCUGCAAUUGGUAGAGUUCCAAAUUGUUAUUACAACGGUAAAUCCAGACACAAUAAUGUAAGAUCAUAUUUGACAAGUGGUACCAUUAAUGUUGAUUAUGUCAAAUCGUGUGAUAAUCUUGCAGACUCUCUUACUAAGGCCUUAACAAGAAAAAAUAUUUGGAGCACAUUGAGGGGGAUAGGAUUGAAGCCUACAAAUCCUUCAGUCAUAUAUGAGGAAACCCAACUUGGGGACUAGAGAUAAUAUAACCAGAUUCAAUGGGAAAACUGAAUCAUAUGAUGACUUAUUGUGAAAAAAUGCACUAUCUUUUUAUUCCCUCCCUAUGAUAUGAGUGUAUUGUUUCCUGUAGUAAUUUGUGAAGGCUGAGUUUACAAAAAAUUCUUAAUGAAAAUAUGUAGCCCUGGAGUGUUAAACAUACAAGAGCACUCUCGACAGAUAUCACCUAUGUGAGUGUGGAAGUAGGUCGCUUCCUAUGAGAAUUGAGCUUAUUCUCAAAAGCACUCAUGAAAUUGGGAUAACACAAGACCGUGACGUGCUGUCUUUUUAAGCUCAUAUCAACACCUUGAUUAUUUUGUGUGAACAGUGAUAUUUUAUUUCCCUUAAGUAGUCAUAGUUCAAGUCUGAGAUCACUACGACUUUGGAGUAAAAGUUACUGUUUCACUAAGUGGAGGUUCAAAAUGCAGAGCACGUCUUCAUUAUGCAUAGUACUCUUCAUUCAACUAAUAAAAUUUCUUACUAAUAUUUAAAAUGAGCGGGGGAUAUAAAGAUUGAAUAUAAAUCGGAUUAUGAUGUAAAAAGAAAUAAAGAAUAAAAUAAUUUAAAAAAUUUAAAUAAACAAAGAAACAUAAAAAGAAAAAAGAAAAGUGGAGAAAUAAAAAACAAAAGAAUAAAAAAUGAGCUACAUAACUAAAGCUAUAAGAAAAUAGGGUAUUUAUUGUAAUUAGUUAGGAGACAGAAAUAUAAAGGGUAUACAUAUGUAAUUAGUUUGUUUUUAUGGAUCAUAUGCUUAGUUUCCCCUUCUUAAAAAUCCAUGUGUUGCGCUAUUUUACAAAAAAAUAUGAAUGAGCAAUACAAUUGCAAGUAUAUAGGAGUGGACCCAAUUUUAUUUGAAAUGUGAAUAAGCAAGCAAUCAUGUUGGAGUGCUGCUUGCUUAUUAACAUUUUUUAGAUAUUAAUAAUAAUAUAAUUCCUUUAAAAACAUGUUGACAGAGUGCUGCUUGCUUAUUUUCAUUUUUUAUAUAAUAAUAAUAAUAUAAUUCUUUUAUAAAAUCUACGUUCUUUUGAAGAAAUGAAAAACAUGCAUCGCACAUUUUUUUUAGCACAAUUGUUUUUACUUACACAUCUCUUUCAUUCACAUUAAAAAUAAAACCAUAAAACAAAAAAAAAAACAUCACUCUCAUUAUGUCUUUGGUGAAUGAAUAUUCACAAUUGUUUUUUAUUUGGUCCACCAUUAGUCUUAUUAAUUUUUGUUGUUCAAAAUUAAACACUUGCCCCAAAACUAUUGGAUUAUGCAAGCCCAAUAAGCUUCAAGUUCCUUUGAUACAUGAAAGAAAAUAUUUUUCACAAAUAUUUUUAAAUUUUUUCAUGUAUAAUAAAUUAAAAUUUUGUUUAAGAAAAUAAAUUUCUUAAAAACAAGAAAAAUGAUUUUCAAAUAAAAAUAAAUAAAUUUCACCAGUGAUAUUGUGUUCUUCACCAUCCAACACACUUUAUUUUUACUCAAUCACACUUAUCUCCGCCACACCACAUCCAAACUUUCCCAACUCCGGCUCUUAUAGCAUAUUAUGUAUAUAUACAAAUAUUUUUUUUAGUUAUUUAUGGAACACAAAAUAAAUAUACUGUAAAUAACAAAUCUAUUUAUUUUUCUAAAGAUAUUUUAAAAAAAAAUGGCAUAGCCAUACCGAACUCAACACAUGAACACACCCUAUAUAUCUCCUUUAUUUUGUGACAUUUUUAAUUUACUCAACUACUAUUCUUGUCUGGCUGAAUAUCUAGAAUCACCAAACAAAAUAGCUGCAAUCACAACCCAACACGUAGCAUGAAGUAAGGGCGUUUAUGUCUUUUCAGACCGUGAGAAUAAGCCGGAUCCGGUGGCCAAAGAGCGUGACCGGCGAAGUAGCCGGAGCUCAGCCAGCAAUGGCGACGGUGUUGCCUUGUACGACGGCGAUCGACUGUAGUAUAAACCACUCAUCAUUUUCUCCACUCAGUUCUGUAGACCUUUCCCGAUUUUACUCCGUCAACCGACGUCUACAUAUAAAAAACUCUUCGUCUUCGUUUUCUUGCCAUUGCACUCCAACGAGUUCUAAUGGUGUUCGGCAAUCUAUAAAACCAGCUAUUGUUGGUAAAAAUGAGGGGCAUAAGAAGAAGAAUAGGAAUUUUAGUCUGAAAUCGUUGUCAGGAAGACGACCUAUGAUACUGUUUGCAUCAACGAAGAUGAGGAGCAUCAUUUUGCUCAAUAUUACUGCUAUGAUUUAUGGUACGUCUCAUAAAUUCUACCUUCAUAUUCAGUGUUUUUCUGAAUCAAAGAAGCUACUACUCUA
rnacentral:lncRNA from 1 species